ensembl:sense_intronic Gm19938 predicted gene, 19938
AGUUGGUUCGGUCCUUCUAACUUUAUAUGGCUUCCAGGGAUUGAACUCAGGUCAACAGGAACUCUGGUCAGUGCUAACAUGAUGCCUGUCCAGUAUUACAGUAGGUGUUAUGCAGGAGAAGUUUUCUGCAGCAUCAGGCAGACUAUGAGCUCAAAAUGUGAGUUUGGAGAAAGAACCACAUGGCAUCACAGUCCCAGUAGCCCUACGCUGUCUAAGGUUGCAUGCUAGUUUCUUUUGAGACCAUCUCAGGAGCAGCAACCAUUGAGAAUAUUGAGGACCUUCGCAUCACAAACCAAGCCAAACAGCCCUUAAGGUCUGAUAACAGAGCAUUGGCCCUGCCGUUUCCUCUAUUCACUUCCAGAAGCCUCAGAGUACAGUGUGUAGGACAUGCCCCUGCCUAUGUGUUUGCAAGGAGUGAUACCACUCCUCUGUGUAACAGCCAUGAUUAAUUUCAACAGGUGGUCUCAUUCUUAUUUUCCCUGGUGGAAUGAGAAGGAGUAGAUGAGGAAAUGAAUGCCUUUAUUCCAGAUUCUAAAACUACAUCUCUCAUUUAACAGCUUGUUUAAGGGAUAAAAGUGCCAAGCCACCCUCUUUUCAAGUAUUCCCUUGUCACCUGAACAAUAGUUUAUAGUGAUUCCUCGCCCUUUGCCACUAUAGGUAAAAGAAGCUGAAAUCUCUUGCAGUUGUGUGUUUUUGUCUUGUUUUUAAAAUUUAUCUUUAUUUUAUGUAUAUGACUGUUUGCAUAUAUGUAUGUAUAGACACCAUAGAUGCGCAGGUGCCUUUGGAGACUUGAAGGAAGCUAAAGUCACAUCCCUGGGGACUAGCCAUUAUGUGAAUGUUGAAAACUGAACCCAGGUCUUUUGAAAGAGCAGCAAAUGCUCAUAACCACUGUUGCAUGAAGUCUCUUAAAUGUGGUCUGUUCCUUUGUAGACUUUACUACUCAAAAUUUUUAAACAAAGAAGUUUUAAAUUAAAUUACAUUAUAAUUUAAUGUGGUGUGUGUGUGUGUGUGUGUGUGUGUGUGUGUGUGUGUGUGUGUGUGUAGAGGGCUUGGAGAGACGCAUGUGCUGUAUGAGGCUUGUGCAGGCCAGAAGGCAACAUAUAGGAGUCUGACUGCUCAUUCUACCCCAUGUUUCCUAGAGAACUAACAAUUUAGGUCUUCAGGCAUGGUAGUGAGUGUAUUUAUUCACUGAGACAUCUUGCUAGUCCUAGUAUUACAAUCUGAAUACUGUGCUUCUUAGCUUCCAAACACACACUCCAACGUGGAUCUGCCUGCUUGCAGUGCCAACUGUUUCCAAAUAGCAGGAAUGCUGUCUGUUCCUGUGGUCCAUGGCCAUUCACUUGCACUUGCUGUUUUUGUUCCUCCUUGCAGGGUCUGCUCUUGAGACCUAUAAAUGGCCCUUUUUUCCCUUUGUCCUCAGCUGUUGGAACCCCUAGAGGGAACAGAAUACUCUCACACCCAUGCAAGUGUUAAAGAGGCUUUAACCCUUUGACAAUUGCUGGCUCUCUUAAUUAGUUUCACCUGACUGCCACUGGAUUUAAAGCCAAUUGUUGUUAACUUGUUUCUACUGGUAUAAUAGUGUCUCAUUUUACUAGUUCAGUUAAAUUUUUAUUGCUUUAAGGACAUAUUCACAAGAACAUUCAAAGCUACUUGUCUUUUUAUUACAAUUGCACUUAUUUCUGUAACCUGGAAAUAGUUCUCAGUUUCAGAUGCCAUUUAGGCUUCCAGUGGCAUAAAAGUUCAGUUGUGCUUUGCCUCUUUUCUGAGACACAUAUGCUAUCCUAGCCUUUCUCAGCAUCCUUGUCUGUAAGUGGAAAGCCUACACGAGGUUUCCAAGUGUGACACAGGAUCACUGUCAUUUUCUACAGGAAUAGUUUGCCUGGGGUGGAAAUAUCACCCUUCCUCAUUCAUCAGAGUGUUAGGCAGGCAUCUAGGCUCUGCUGAUGUUAUAAAGAUCUUUUAAACUCAAAUAAGGUUUAUCAUGAGGUGAAUUUUCAAGAAAUUCUGUGGAUGGGAAAAAUAAAUAUACCAAAAAAAAAAAAAUAACAAUUUUCAAAAAACCUGAUUUAUCAAGCUUCUUGUUUUGUUUUGCUAUGCUUUGUUUUAUAGUGACACAGUCAUUAAAUUCUAUUGGUUUGCAAAUUGUAAUUAUAUUGGCAUUUUUCUUUCCUUACAAAUAGGUUGAGUUGAUUUGUCUAUGAAGACUGUAAAAUUCUUUUACAAAAUAGAAAGAAAACCAGCAGCAGCUGAAAGCAAAUGGAAAAGAAAAAAAAAAAAAAAAAAAAAAAAACAACUUCCAAUAUACAUUUCAAAGAGCUACAUUGUCUCAAGAAAUUUCUUGCUAACUAAUCAGAAAAACUGACAAGUAAUCAUCUAUGAAAAAUGAGCCAAGAACAUGCAUAGAUAGUUCAUAAAGAUAAUAAAGACAAGUGAAUCAAUUGUUUUGUCUGAAGUCCUGUGUGUUCUCACACUAUCUAAAAUCUGUGUUUGGGGAUGUGUGAAGCCAGGGUGAACCCUUUUGUCUAGUCACAGAUCUGUGUCACUCACUUGCUUGAGCCUCUUAAAGUGGCCCCGAAGUGCUUGAGGUUUUUUGAGGUUUUGGUUUUGUGUCAUGAACCCCUUAGUUCAUAUAGAAGAUAAUAGAGUUGGCUCCCCAAACAGCCAUGUCAGUUCUCAUCUUCACAUUUUAGGUGACAGACACUGGAAAGCUAUGAAAAAGAUGAGAGAGUGUAAAGAUUUCAAUCAUUUAAUGCAGCUCAAAGGGCAGUGCUGCCAGAGGAAGCCCAUGAUGCAGUGUGGACUUUGGGUCCCAGCUUGUGCUUUGCUCUUCCUGGGAUGCUGACAAGGACUGCAGUACCCUGUCCAUCUCUGCUGUACUCCUGCAGCUUAACAGGUAGUAAUGAGGCCUCUGGGUCCAGCUGCAUUGCUUCAGGCCUUGGAACAUCUGUGCUUGAUUCCUUGAUCACUCCCUAAAUAUCUUGCACUAAAUCAUUCUCACUUAAGCCGGUUAGAGUGGACUUGAAAAGGAAAAGUGUAUUUUGGCACAGGGUAAACACAAGGGUCGGUAGGAAGAACAGAGGCCCAUUAACAAUCAAGCCAAGUCAAACCUAGAGAAGUUCAUUAAUUUUCUGUUCUACUCUCUUCACUACUAAAAAAGAACAUGUUUCUCAAUUAAAUCUAAAUUUGCUUUCAGGUCUCCCCUUCCCCAAACUCAUAUAAUGCUGUUUUCUACGUAGUCAUUUCUUCAGCAAAAACCCAAAACC